CUGAAAACAGGAUCUCUACAGUUUUCUUUCAGAUUCAUCGUUCUACAAAGCCAAAAUAAGAUAUUAAGGCUGAAGAAAUAAAAACUGAAAUUAGCAUUGGGAAUCACAAUAUACUGAUGACUCUCAUUUCCUCAUAUGCUCUCAAAGCCCCAGUGUAAUGGUAAAUAGUCCAUACAUAAAAAUGUCUAUAAUCUUUCUUGAAAUAACAUUGUCAGAAAAAGUUAAUAUAAUCUGAAUAAAAGAAUUUUGAGGGCCUAAUUUUUCCUCCAAAAAGAACUCUGACAAUGCUGUUUUAGCAGUUAUUUAUGGUUAAAUACCAGAAAUCUGACAACCUGAAAAAAUUUCCACUUAAAAUCUUCCAGUUUAAACUUGUUGCCAUUCUAAUCUUGCAGCCUUUACAAUGACCAAUUGUUAAUUAAGAACAAAUAGUAGGGAAUGUUUUCCCCUGCUCCAUGCCUCCCCUGCAUUUCCAAAUUCAAAAAGAUUGACUUGCAAAUUGGAGUUCUGGGAAAAAUUAGAUGCAAGAUCUGAGUAUAAUUGGGCAGAAAAAAAAGACACAUCAUUCUAUUAAAAAGAUGUCAAGGUGUUUCCUGCAAUAAUUAUAAAUCUUUUUCAGAAACUGUUGAGUUCACUCUGGGAGGUGAAAAUGUUUUCAUUUUAAACACUGCAAAAUGACCGAAAGAACCAAUUGGUAUCGUUAAGGAACACUUGUGUCAGGUUUCUAUUUCAGUAACCAUAAUCACUAAUAACUAAGGGAACACAAAAGUCCAUCAAUGAGAAGUCAUCUCUUAACUGUGGAAGGCCAGCAGUUAAUAUACUGGACCACAAAAUGAAAUCAAGUGAUGCAAGUUCUUCCCUCAAUCUAAGAACCUGCAGAAUACCAAGACAAGUGUUUCAAGAAUCAUCCAGAAAGGUCAGUUUUAAACUAUAUGUUUAAAGCAGAAACAUUACUUGGCAUGGGGCUUUCUAGGUAAAAAAGGAAGACAUAAUAUAAUUGGCUUAGAUCCUAAGAGUUUUUCUUCUCUUUAUUUGCAAGAUAAGUUGAUUAACUUCAAUUAUUAAUAGCCAAAACUUGUGCCUCCUAAUUAGAUCUAUACUCUAGUGAGAUAUAAUCUCAUAAUUAAGCACCCAAAGUUUUUGUUGUUAAAAAAAAUUAUCAGCCAAUAAUAAAACUUUUAAUGACUGUAGCAAGUUGACACUUUCUGGUUUUCUAUCCAACUAUGCAGUAUAGUCUUGUUUUUGGUACCACCAUUGUAAUUUACUGAGGAAUAAACAAGACAAGACAGAGAAGCACACAGCGCUUGCUAGAUACUCUUAAAGUAUAUGAUACUUAAAAUAGCAUCCUUUCCUGGAUAUGAAGUUUUAUUCACAUUUGAAAAUAUAUUCUUAAGUUCUAAACUCUUCACUUUAAAAAGUGAGGGUAAGUAGAAUUAUUUUCAUUUUCCUUGAAAUAAUUUGAUCACAUCUAAGACAACAAAAAGAACCUAUUUAAAAAUACUGUUUUAAUAAGGUGACAGGUGAUGGUCCUCUGGCCAGGUAUUUAUUUAGAAACCACCACUUACAAGUCAAACUGGUAUUCCAAAGGGAGUAGUUAAAAACAAAAACAAGAAACAUACAACUAAUACAAUUUCUCUUACUCUUCACUUUUCUUUUUAUUAUUCAAAAGUCAAAUGUUUUUAAAUCAUCCAUCCUCAAU
rnacentral:lncRNA from 1 species